rnacentral:rRNA from 1 species
AGUGAACGCUGGCGGUAGGCCUAACACAUGCAAGUCGAACGGCAGCACAGUAAGAGCUUGCUCGAACGGGUGGCGAGUGGCGGACGGGUGAGGAAUACAUCGGAAUCUACUUUUUCGGGGGGGAUAACGAAGGGAAACUUACGCUAAUACCGCAUACGACAUACGGGAGAAGGCAUGGGAUCUUCGGACCUCGAGCGAUUGAAAGAGGAGAUGCCGGAUUAGCUAGUUGGCGGGGUAAAGGCCCACCAAGGCGACGAUCCGUAGCUGGACUGAGAGGAUGAUCGGCCACACUGGGACUGAGACACGGUCCAGACUCCUACGGGAGGCAGCAGUGGGGAAUAUUGGACAAUGGGCGCAAGCCUGACCCAGCCAUACCGCGUGGGUGAAGAAGGCCUUCGGGUUGUAAAGCCCUUUUGUUGGGAAAGAACAGCUGCCGGUUUAUCCCCCGUUGUUCUGACGGUACCCAAAGAAUAAGCACCGGCUAACUUCGUG